UGUAAAUGCCAGUGUGGUAAUAAAAAUCAUCUUAAUGCGAACGGAAAACAAGAUUACUCGGAGUGUCUAUUACAACAAUUUACAGUAGCCCAGCCCACUAAUAUCACACAAGUUUAAAAACAAUGCACCUAAUUUACGGUUUCAGAGGUGUAAGCGGUAGUGUGUUGAGCGCGCAGGAUUUUCUUGUGAUGCAACUGACUGGGUUCUUGCCGACUUCGCUCUCCUUCAUUUUCCCAUCACAUCAGAAAGGCAUUUAUUUUCAAUAAAAAUGAAGAAAAUGUUCUAAAAGUGGAAGUAAAUUGCCUAAUUUACCCUCUGAUAUUAUUGCAUGCUGUUAAUUUAGGCUACAAUACUGAGGUGCAUAUAGUAUGUAUCUGCCAGUAUAAAAUAUAAAAUGAAAAUGAAUAUAAGUUCAAUAACUUACCGUUUUGUCAGUUUUCACCUUUGAUAUUAUAACAGUGAUAAGAAUUAAACUUGCAUUGACUCAGAAGUAUGUGGAUGUCAUUUUGUCACGUGCUGUUGCCAUGGUGAAUCGUAAUAUCGGAGCUCCAUUGAUGAUGGCUUUUCAUAGUCGUGGUGCACGCACUGAACUCCGAGUCAAAGUACUCAGAGUCGAUUGAACUAACUCAAUUCAGCUGUUCUGAAACAGAAAACUCAGAGUUUCCCAUUUCAGGGUAAGUCAGCUCAGAGUUCAAGUUUUAACUCAGAGUUGGUUGAACCUCCUUAUUGAAACGGGCCCCUGGUCACUUCAAAAAGACGCGCUAGCUGAAGGAAGUUUCGUCAAAGCUGACUAAAAUCGUCGAGGAUGAUCGAGGAUUUAUAAUUUCGACUCCUGCUCGUCUUUCUGGCGUGUUUGCGAGCAGGAGGAGGCAUGGGGCUGCUAGAGUUUGCUGAGAGUAGCUUUAACUUUUGCCAGAGGCUUUAGCAGCCAUAAAACCGGGCCCGGGUUAAAGCAGCGGCUGGCUAAUCUCUUCAUAUCUGCCUCUCUUGAAUCUCUCUCUUUUUCCGUCAAUUGGAUGGCUCCCAAAACAAAUCAGGCUCAUCUUCUGGUGACUGCAUGGGAGAGGAAGAGAGAAGAGGGUGUGAUGCUGGAGCUCUGUGCCUCUCUCUCUCUCUGUCUCUAGGCCUCAAGCAGUCAGCAUCUGGUAGCCCCCGAAAGGGGCGAGCGUGUGUGUGGCGCCGCGAGCUCAGGACACACACUGGCAGCGUUUGAACGACAAUAAAGACGCACAGCCUCACACACACACUAGCUAGCGGUGUUGCGCUGUCUGAGUGAUGGCUAAAGAGACAGCUGGUGUGUACUCAGCCAAAGUUCCUCAGCCAAACAUAAGCUUGUCCGACCUUCAGAGGUCUGGCAGAGGAGCCUGCGUUCUGGGCAUUCUUUACUGACAACUCGCAAAGACAGCUCCUAGCACUCACCUAUGCUAUAAUAACUCAAACCAUUACUCUCCCUGGAUCUAUCAUGUCCUGAUGAGGUUUAUGGCAACUUUGUUUAUUUCUCUGGAAAUGUUUGUAUGUUUGUCAUCACAUUCUCCAUCUCAGUUCAUCAAGUUUCAGCAUGGAGGAGACGGGUAGUCUAUGAGUGUGGGUGUGUGUUUGUGAAUAUGUGUGUUCUUUCAUGUCAAAGCAGGUAUGAGAUUGUGAAUGUGUAUGUGCGCUCGUGUCCAGGUGUGUGUGUGUAUGAGACAUUGCGAACGCUGAGAAGGGCUGAGUGUUUUCUGACGCCUGUCGGACUGGGCCUGUCACAGUGGAACAGGAAGGUGUCAUCAGCCCAGGCCUCAGAGCCGAAGCCCGUCAGCCAGCCGGACCUGAACACCCUGAUGAGCUGACAGCCGGCACAGCACAGGCCUGUCUCAGGCCUCCCAGAGAGAGAAAGCACCUGCAACCAGCCAUCUACCUGUCUGUCUGACUGACUAUGGGAUACACUUGAUACAAUGUACAUCCACAACUAACCACGGCCCUCUUUGAGUUUUCCGGCUGUCUCUGUGUGUGUGUGUGUGUGUAUAUGUCUUGGCUUCUAUCACUUCCAAGUCUAAACCUCUGAGUUCCACUGUGCUCCUGAACCUCAAAAUGCCAAAUACGUCAAAAUAAAUUAAUAAUAUUCAUAAACAAAAAGUAUAUGGACACUUAAAAUGUAUGAGCGCCAUAAGAUUAGAAAUCUAAGAGGCAUAUGCAAACAAAUAAUGAGCUUUUUUCAGAAAUUCAGUAUCUUUUCUUGCAUUUGUUUUUGGUCCCAAGGACAUUUUAGUGAAUAAUAUAAUAUAAUAUAAUAUAAUAUAAUCCGAAAAAUAUGCAUAUUUUUAAAUCAUAUUUUAUCAUUCAAUACCUAAUAAGCUUGUUUUGAAUAUAUUUUAAACAUUUUUGUAAUUAUUU